GAUGAACGCUGGCGGCGUGCCUAAUACAUGCAAGUCGAGCGAACAGACGAGGAGCUUGCUCCUCUGACGUUAGCGGCGGACGGGUGAGUAACACGUGGAUAACCUACCUAUAAGACUGGGAUAACUUCGGGAAACCGGAGCUAAUACCGGAUAAUAUAUUGAACCGCAUGGUUCAAUAGUGAAAGACGGUUUUGCUGUCACUUAUAGAUGGAUCCGCGCCGCAUUAGCUAGUUGGUAAGGUAACGGCUUACCAAGGCGACGAUGCGUAGCCGACCUGAGAGGGUGAUCGGCCACACUGGAACUGAGACACGGUCCAGACUCCUACGGGAGGCAGCAGUAGGGAAUCUUCCGCAAUGGGCGAAAGCCUGACGGAGCAACGCCGCGUGAGUGAUGAAGGUCUUCGGAUCGUAAAACUCUGUUAUUAGGGAAGAACAAAUGUGUAAGUAACUAUGCACGUCUUGACGGUACCUAAUCAGAAAGCCACGGCUAACAACGUG
rnacentral:rRNA from 1 species